CCUACGGGAGGCAGCAGUGAGGAAUAUUGGUCAAUGGGCGGAAGCCUGAACCAGCCAAGUCGCGUGAGGGAAUAAGGCCCUACGGGUCGUAAACCUCUUUUGCCGUGGAGCAAGAGCGGGGCCGUGUCCCGGCCCGGAGGGUACCCGGGGAAAAAGCAUCGGCUAACUCCGUGCCAGCAGCCGCGGUACUACGGAGGAUGCGAGCUUUCUACGGAUUUAUUGGGUUUAAAGGGUGCGUAGGCGGGCUGUUAAGUCAGCGUUAAAACUUCGGGGCUCAACCCCGUCCGGCCGUUGAAACUGGGGGCCUUGAGUGGGCGAGAAGAAGGCGGAAUGCGUGGUGGAGCGGUGAAAUGCAUAGAUAUCACGCAGAACCCCGAUUGCGAAGGCAGCCUUCCGGCGCCCUACUGACGCUGAGGCACGAAAGUGCGGGGAUCGAACAGGAUUAGAUACCCUUGUAGUC
rnacentral:rRNA from 1 species